CAAGUCUUGUAACCAGGGAAGGUGUCAGUGACCAGGUGACUUGUGGGUGAUCCAUCGGACCCCUCCUAAGUCUCCCCCAUAUAAACCCCGGGAGGAGCUAAUUCUGUUCUGUGCUGAGUGCAGUAAAGUCCAGACCUGAGAGUGUCUGGUGUCCUGAGGAGACCCAAGGCCUAGUCACACAUCGAGAACCUCAAAGCCUGGAGACCCCGUCUGCUGCGGGCGCCACCGAAAUCCAUCGAAAGCUAGGACUGCGAGGACCUGCGCCAUGACUAUUGACGGCAAUGCAGUCUACACACCCGGCCGAGUCAGAACAAGACAUAACAGGUCACCCCAAGAAGAAACCUCCCGCUUGGAGAACUCCUAAUGGAUGAUGUGCGGUCACCUCUAUUAUCUUCCCUGGUCCAUGGCCUCAUAAUAUCCAGUCUUCGUCUCCUCACCUGUCCGCUUACGGUUAAA